CCACGCCCAAGGAAGAACGUAUUCAGAGAAAAAAUCUGUGAGAAAAGGACAAACCUAAGCUAACUGAUACCAUGAUCCAUCAUCAAUUUAUUUUUUGCAUCCUUCGGAAGGUCCAGUCAAUUCUCUUGCAAAUCGAGGGAGAAAGAAGAAAAACAAAGAUGAAAAAUCACAGGAUAUCAACAUGUGCAUAAUCAACCCAGGAACUAGAGUCAAUGCAUCGAAAAAUCAUACUGAUCUGUGUAAUUUGUUCUUUUCGAAGUCUUCUCCGUCGGAAACCGGCAGCGGCUCAUCCUCGUUUCAGUUUUAUUUUUACAUUUGUAAUGUAAGUUGUUUACAUUUAGUUUACAAAUUUGUUUACAUAUUUACAAUGUAAUUUGUUUUGUAUAUAUUGUAUAUAUUUUUUUUACAUAUGUUUGUAUCUAAUAUUUACAUAUUAAUGCAAAAGAUGUGUUUGUAUAUAAUAUUUACAUAUCAAUGUAAAAUUAUUGCGAUUUUAAAUUGAAAAUAUGGAAUACUGUGAGUUUGAGAGAAAAAAAAGGAAUGACUGCGAUUUUAAGUUAGUGCAAAAUAUUGA